GGACAGAAAGACCCUAUGAAGCUUUACUGUUCCCUGGCAUUGGGUCUCGGCCCUCCCUGCGCAGCCUAGGUGGGAGGCACAGAAGCUCUUCUUCCGGGAGGGGCCAAGCCAUCCGUGAGAGACCACCCUGGAAGGGCUAAGAUCCUAAACCGGCGCCCUACGAUAGGCGUUGGAACCGUGCCAGGCAGACAGUUUCUCUGGGGCAGAGGCCUCCCAAAGAGUAAUGGAGGCGUGCAAAGGUUCCCUCAGGCUGGACGGGAAUCAGUUGUAGAGUGUAAGGGCAGAAGGGAGCUUGACUGCAAGACCAACAAGUCGAGCAGGGACGAAAGUCGGCCUUAGUGAUCCGACGGUGCCGCGUGGAAGGGCCGUCGCUUAUCGGAUAAAAGUUACUCUAGGGAUAACAGGCUGA
rnacentral:rRNA from 2 species